AGUAGCACGCAGAGGAGUGAAAGAUUAGUCUACGCAGAAGCAUUGACAGAACAGUUCAAAUACCGAAGGGUGAUUUAAAAAAAAAAAAAAAAAAAGUUUUUUGUCCCCGCACUCGACAGCAACAUACGAGCGGAUUAUGAUUGUCAAGAACUUGAAGAAGCGUGAGAGAAGAUAAAGGACCUAACGGUAUACAUUUGAAGUGCUUUCCGAAUAGAAACGGCCAAAAGUCUCGUAUCUGCUCUAAAGUUCCUGUGAGGACAGGGACGAAAAUYUAUGCCAUGUCUUUUUGGGACAGGAUUUUCUGACAUGUAUCAUAAAACAUAUAUUUUAUUUACAGUUGAUCCUUGGAUAAAGGCAUAUCACCCAGUAGUCGCCUACCUAACUACCAACGGGAAACGUUGACUCGUCCGUGCUACUGCAGGGAAAAUGUUUGGCUUAUGGCCUCUUUGGACACCAGUAGCUUGUGUCCGUCGGAAUCAGCUGUAUCUGGUUGUAUAACUGGAAGGGAUCCACAGACAAGGAGGGAAGGGAUCCACAGACAAGACAUCCUACAUGCGUAGUAACCAGACUCCAGCAGUGAUAGCGUUGGUCCGACCACCGUUUGCUGGGAGCCGCUGGGAGUCCAUGGCUGCUGCGUGACUCAUUACACUGUAAGUUGUCUCCGCUCACUCUUCUUCUGUGCUGUAAUAUGUGUAUGUGUGACGGCAAUACGGUCACUGGUCCUCCGUCUCUCCCUCUAGCCUCACGUUAGUUAUAGAGUGAAGUGUUGCAUGGAGUACAAGUGUGGCCAGACAACCAAGAUAUAUUUUAGAAUACUAGAACAAUACUGGAAUAUUCCUGCACUCUAUGCCUUGAGGAAAUGAGCAGUGUACUCACCUCCGAUGACAAAUCUUAGUUUCUCGAGAAAAUAAACGACCAUUACAAUAGGGCAGGACAAAAUCACACCCCAGAAAUUCCCCAGCUUUUACAUURUUAUCUACAGUUGUUUGCCACCAUGCUUGUUGUUUUCGGGAUUUAUCUCUUCGCCUUAAUACCCUGCAGCUAACAAACUGCUUGUCCAUAUGUCCCGGGGCCCGUUUGCUGGAGACUCUAAAGAGCAGCCGUGUGUGUUACAUCCAAGGCUGUGUUUG